CCGCCCGUCACAUCACGAAAAGUGGGCUGUACUAGAAGUUCGCGCGCUAACCCGCAAGGGAGGCAGCGGCCCAAGGUAUGACUCAUGAUUGGGGUG
rnacentral:rRNA from 1 species